CGUCAAGUGGAGUCCGGUGUUGAGUUUCUAUUGGAAUCCAAGACUACCGACUUUUAACCGGAAAAUGGUUGCGUUGUGUUAUUUUCUUAAAAUUUAUGGAAAAGUUGUGCCAAACAUAUUGGUUAUAUAAUAUAAAAACUGUAAAACUUUAAUAUAUUAUCAAAACAAAAUCGUUUUAUUUUAAUAUACAUAUGUAUAUUGUUAAAGAUGAGAACAAUAUGAACAAAUACAUGAAAAAUUAAGUUUUUUAUUUAUGCCUCUUUUUAACUAUGGUAAAUUAAUAAAUGUUCACCACAGAAAAAUGUUACAAACAAAUAAGCAACCACGCCGAAUAGAAUGCUCAUUCACAGCCAUAUUUAUAUUUUUGCCAUCGUAACGGAGGAUUUUGCAAGACAAUUUGUUUGAAUUUAUUUCAUGGUAUAAUCCUUUACGAUGGUUUAUUUAGUUAUUUGAAUCUGGAAGAAGUAUGUGCAAAUUUCCCUUGGGACGAUAAAUAACAGAUCGGCUGGGAUUUUAUUCCAAUAAAAGUACGAAAUAACUAAACAUGGCCUCGUUAAUCUUGCUGCGUAAUGGGUCAGGUGCUGCUCCAAUUUUAUGAUUUAAGAGAUGAAAAAGCGAUACGCGAUGCUGUGAAGUACACAAAUGUAGUUAUUAAUUUAGUUGGUCGAGAAUUCGAGACAAAAUUUUAAAUUCAAUGACGUGCUCGUGGAAGGUGCACGUCGCAUUGCUAGAAUCUGCAAAGAAGCUGGAUAAACGUUUGAUUAUUUGUGCUUGAGGGUGGAAGCAACUUUUUGAAGAGCAAAUACUACGGAUGUUGCACACGCUAUUGUCAAUUGCGCUAAGGAUCCCCAUACUGCUGGUCAGGCUUAUCAAGCUGUUGGAUCAAAGCGUUACCAGUUGAGCGAAUUAAUUGACUGGUUCCAUCGUGUUAUGCGCAAAGAUGAAAAAUGGUGGGGAUACCAUCGUUAAGACAUGUGUUGCGAUCCUACCUUCUUAUUGAAAGCCAAGUUCACUGAGCUUAUCCGUGCUAGACAACCUAUCGGUGAGCUACAUACAUAUGGAACGUAUCGAUCGCGAAUGUAUUACCGCUGUCGUUUGAAUGUACAAUUAACCUCCAUGGAAGAGCGAGUACCAUGGAAAUUGCGACCAUAUCGUGCUGCGCAAUAUUAUGAUGCCGAAUUGGGAGAGUGGGAGAACCAGCUCCACCAAAACCAAUAGAAUAUCGGGAAGAACUACGUAUGUUUGCAUAAACUACUAUAAUGGCAACAACGCUACCCAAUAAACCUUUCCAUAAGCGAACGGCAAUAGAGUUAUAGAAUAAGCUUAUUGUAAUGAUUUAACAUUUAAUAAGCAUAUUUAUGAAAGGUUUAUUUAAUUAUAAAAUAAUAAUACUUUUAUAAACUUGCUUGAAAAAUGAUUCACAUAGUAACAACAUAACAAAUAUGAUUGUAAUUGACUUAGCCCUCGCUAUAGUUUUGUAGCUCUGUUGUGUACAUCAGGGAUGGGCACAUUAGCCCUCAGUGGCAUUUUGCCCGUGCGGGCACGAGUGCACAUUUUGAGGGCUAGGUGAGGGGAUCAUCGCGGGCAAACAUGAAGAGGGAAGUGAGAGCAACGUUUUACCACUCCAUAUUUACAAAUGAGAGCAACGUAUUUU